rnacentral:sRNA from 1 species
CGGGUUAACUCCUGCUUGUUACGUUUCAUCCAACCGAAGCCGGAUGUCGUUUGGUGUCAGAUUCCGUAAGGAACCGGGAGCACCAUCUGCGUAGGCUUGAGUUUUAAGACUUGCGCCGCCUACGGUCUUGGAUAGCCCCCGCCAGGCAGGGACCCCAAUUUUUCAUCAAUGGGCACAAUUACUAGCGCCC